UACAGAGGUCUCAAGCGUUGUUCGGAUUCAUUGGGCGUAAAGGGUGCGUAGGCGGCGCGGUAAGUCGGGUGUGAAAUCCUGGAGCUCAACUCCAGAACUGCCUUCGAUACUGAGGAUCUCGAGUCCGGGAGAGGUGAGUGGAACUGCGAGUGUAGAGGUGAAAUUCGUAGAUAUUCGCAAGAACACCAGUGGCGAAGGCGGCUCACUGGCCCGGUACUGACGCUGAGGUGCGAAAGCGUGGGGAGCAAACAGG
rnacentral:rRNA from 1 species